rnacentral:tRNA from 1 species
ACCUGGGUGGCUCAGUUGGUUAAGCAUCUGACUUUAACUCAGUCAUGAUCUCACAGUUUGUGAGUUCGAGCCCCACAUCAGGCU